CUACGUUGAAACACCAGUUCCCAUACGAUCACCGAAGUUAAGCAACGUGGAGCCUGGUCAGUACCUAGAUGGGUAACCACUUGGGAAUACCAAGUGAUGUAAG